ACGCUGGCGGCAGGCCUAACACAUGCAAGUCGAGCGGUAGAGAGAAGCUUGCUUCUCUUGAGAGCGGCGGACGGGUGAGUAAUGCCUAGGAAUCUGCCUGGUAGUGGGGGAUAACGUUCGGAAACGGACGCUAAUACCGCAUACGUCCUACGGGGGAAAGCAGGGGACCUUCGGGCCUUGCGCUAUCAGAUGAGCCUAGGUCGGAUUAGCUAGUUGGUGGGGUAAUGGCUCACCAAGGCGACGAUCCGUAACUGGUCUGAGAGGAUGAUCAGUCACACUGGAACUGAGACACGGUCCAGACUCCUACGGGAGGCAGCAGUGGGGAAUAUUGGACAAUGGGCGAAAGCCUGAUCCAGCCAUGCCGCGUGUGUGAAGAAGGUCUUCGGAUUGUAAAGCACUUUAAGUUGGGAGGAAGGGUUGUAGAUUAAUACUCUGCAAUUUUGACGUUACCGACAGAAUAAGCACCGGCUAACUCUGUGCCAGCAGCCGCGGUAAUACAGAGGGUGCAAGCGUUAAUCGGAAUUACUGGGCGUAAAGCGCGCGUAGGUGGUUAGUUAAGUUGGAUGUGAAAUCCCCGGGCUCAACCUGGGAACUCCAUUCAAAACUGACUGACUAGAGUAUGGUAGAGGGUGGUGGAAUUUCCUGUGUAGCGGUGAAAUGCGUAGAUAUAGGAAGGAACACCAGUGGCGAAGGCGACCACCUGGACUGAUACUGACACUGAGGUGCGAAAGCGUGGGGAGCAAAC
rnacentral:rRNA from 1 species